UCUUCUUGUAUGUGAGGACAUAAGGUUCAGUCUACCGUUUACAAGAUAGAAACAGCUCUCACCUGAAAUAGUACUGCCAGACCUUGAUCUUGGACUCUCUAGUCUCUACAACUGUGAGAAAAUUAAUUUCUGUUUUUUAAGCCACCUAUUCUAUGGCAGUCUAAAAUGACUAAGGGGCUUUCCAUAUAGCAAAUAUCUAUGUAAAUAUGACUUGGUUACUUUGGGUAACAAAGAGCUUGAGUACUUUGAUUAUAAAGUAGCCAAGCUUUAAUUAUCCACUAACAUAACCCACUGCACAAAAUAUCAAGAGGUUAUAGCUGUAGAAAAAUGCAGCAUAUUUUGUCCCAGAAAAUGUUCAUGUUUCUCUCUCAGGUUAAGAGACUCCAUCAUUAAAUAGCAGGGCUCAGAGAGUUUAUUGUGUUUUACUUUCUUUUACCUCCUACAGAGAGUGGUGAAAUCAGAAAGACAAAGCAAGGUUAGAAUACAGCCAUGCAAAGAAAAUAUGGACCUGAAGAAAAAUAAGCCGUGGACUAUCUUCGGUCUCAUGCUAGCAGUGGAGUGGGAAAAGGACUCAGAAGACUCUUACUGGCCAUGAUGAAGUACCUGUUACUAGAUUUGCUUUCCUACCAUAAGCAACUUUAAAACUGGAUAAUGGAUAUGACAGCUGAUCUUAUGCAUUUCAAGCAACACAGGAUUCUGAUAAUUAAAAGAAGGAAAGCACACGAGCCAACUUUUUAUUUCAACAGGUAGAGAUGCCUCUUGUAGUCAUGAUAUUUCCUCUCCAGUAACUAAGACUUGAGAAAUCAUAAGGACACUAACAAUGCACUGUAGAUAAUACUGGUGGCUGCCAUGGGAGAGGACUGCACAAAAAGAACAAGUUUAAGAGCUUCAGCAGUCAUAAAUGGCUUGAGAAAAUUAUGCUAGAGAUUGAAGCAGAUGGAAGAGUCUAGAAACAGUAAGUCUUCUUUUCAUUGGUGUGAGUCUUGAAUAUAAAUGGAAAUCAGAGGUCUGUAAUAUCAGGCCAAUGUGGGUAAGGCAGUAAGGUUUUGAGUCUGAGAUGACGACUGGGGGCAGGCUGUAGACUUAUUGUCAGUCCUGUGCAGCAUUUGAGAAUAUAGCUGGGGAUUAAAAUUCCAGUUUCAAACUGAAGACAAAAGAAGUUAGCAAGACCAGAUGAGGACAGAAGCCUGGGAAUUGUGUCUCAAGAUCUUCAUUGAGAGGGCAUUCCUAUACAACAGCCCCCUAUGGGCAGGGUUAUGGCCGUUGUUGCUAAGCUGUCUUCCCUAUUAGGCUGGCUUCUGUGGGGUAAUUAACCGGUACAACGAACUAUGGGAAGCUCUUCUGAGAAGACCACACAUUAAAACAAAGUGUCCUUACUCAAGCUGGGUCAUAUUUGGGUAUUUUAUUAUGGUAGCUUUGAGAAAGGAUAUCAAACUGACAUAUUCACCUAUGAGUUUAGGAUCAAUGGAGGGAAGAGAACAGAAGGGCCACACAGAAGGGGAAGCUCAGGCACAGAUGGCCAGGAGCCAGGCUCAUUGUAGAGGUGAGAUAAUCAAAGUUGGCCGUACAAAGGCUGCCCAGGUAAGAUGCUUCCAAUAGCCAGGAAGCAUGUGGACAGGGCAGAAUUUGUUCCAUUUGAAGUUAGAUUAUAUAUGAAGAUACUUAUAAUCAAAUAAAUGCAGAACAUAUCUGGAAAGGGAAAUAAAGUAAGAGUUAAUAAUAUUUUUAACAAAUUAUGAUUGAAAUCUAAAAUGUCAACAUAAAACAUUGUACAAGGGUUUAAU